rnacentral:rRNA from 1 species
AUACGUAGGUGGCAAGCGUUGUCCGGAUUUAUUGGGCGUAAAGCGAGUGCAGGCGGUCUUUUUAAGUCUGAUGUGAAAGCCUUCGGCUUAACCGAAGAAGGGCAUCGGAAACUGGGAAACUUGAGUGCAGAAGAGGACAGUGGAACUCCAUGUGUAGCGGUGAAAUGCGUAGAUAUAUGGAAGAACACCAGUGGCGAAGGCGGCUGUCUGGUCUGUAACUGACGCUGAGGCUCGAAAGCAUGGGUAGC